CUGGAUUCUACCAAUAAAGUCCUUCGGAAUGUAAUCUAAAUUUUGGCCUAAUCUUUGAUGUUACAGAAGGAAAGAAGGGGUGGAGAUGAUACACUCCACAGAUUGGACAGCUAACAAGUACCUACUACUAUUGACUAUGUAUUAAUUUCCUAUUAACAAGUAAAAAAAAUGGCAUUGAUUUUGUUUUACUAGUUUCUGCUUGAAUUCCUAAAUUUUCUUUUUGAAUAUUUUUCUUGUCUUAGCCCACUCCACCCAACUUUUCCUUUCUCGUUUUUUUGAUUAGUAUCUGAAACAAUUCUUAUUUCAUUGAGCAAUGUAUAUUCUUGCAAAAAAUGAAUUAAAAAAUUAAUUUGUGCCCAAUUAGUUUGGUGUAAAUGUCAUCCACAUUUAUCUCAUGUAAUUUUAAUUGGAAAUAUUUAGUGUUUAUGGGAAUAAACAGGAAGCUUGAAAUUGCUAAUCAUUGGCAUUAAAUUGAAGCAGGUUUAGAAAUGAAAAUUCUGGAUUAGGAGAGAAUGGAUGAGAAGGAGAAUUGCGGACAAAAGAAAAUAAUGUCUCCCUGUUUGGCUCUGAAGAAUUGCUUGGAUGAGAAAAUGGAGGGACCCUUGCCUCACAACGAUCGGGUGAGAUAUCAGCCACUGGACCUAUAUCCUACUCCACUCCACAGAUGUUAAAAGUGUUAACGGAACGACGCAGGGUUCUCAGUUCCUAGCAUGUUGUCUUUGAUCCUAGUUUGGCUGCCCUCUAUCUGAGUCCAAGCUAGACAUUGAUUCGGGCUCCUGGGAGAAGAAAAAAACCCGGCUGUUGACACCAAUGCUCUGGUUCUUAGAUGCUGAAGCUAUUGAAUAUUGUUAGCUGACUCUUGAGUAGAAAGGUGAAAUGCAGCAGGAUUGUAUCUUCAGAUGAGGCUUAAGAAUGUGCUUUACAACAGUUUUGUUGGCUUAUUUAUUAUUGUUUUGAUGUUUCUGUACAAUGAAAUUGAAGUUAUAAGAAGGGUCGAUCUGUCUUCGUGUACAGAGAAAUCUGUAAUGAAAAUAAUUUUUCCCAUUAAUGUAUUAA